rnacentral:lncRNA from 1 species
UGGAUGUCCCAGUAAGGGGCCAUAAUGCUGCAGCUGUCCACUUUUGGGUGGUACCUGCAUAUUGUACAAAACCAUCUGUAAAACAGGCCCAGGUCUUCUCUUCCUCUGUCAGCUGACCAUAGAGCACUCCCCAUGAGGUGCAGGCUGGGAGAGAGAAGGCAGUGUAGCAGGAGUGGGCACCAUGGAAUUUUAGCCACUUCUUCAUGUAACUUACUUAUGCUUUCAGGGCCUACUCAGGCCCAGUCACAUAUAUACCACUUCCACUUGAUGAUGGAGUGUUUCUGUGCACACUUAACUUUAUGGCUUAGUCAGCCAGAUAACACCUGGUUUAUGAUGGGCAGCUCAGGUCACAUGGUAACUUGGUGGCCUAUGGUUAAGCAUUCAGUCUCUACAAAGGCCCGAUAGCAGGGCACGAGCUCAUUCUCAAAAGGGGAGUAGUUAUCUGCAGAGGAUGGCAGGGCUUUGCUCCAAACCCAAAGGGCCUGCACUGCGAUUCAGCUAUAGGAGCCUGCCUAAGACUCCAAACAGCAUCCCUAUCUGCCACUGAUACUUCCAGAAUCAUCGCAUCUGCUGGAUCACAUGGCCCAAGUGGCAGCACCAUUUGCACAACAGCCUGGACUGUUGCAGAGGCUUCUCUUGUUCUGGGCCCCACCCAAAACUAGCAGCUUUUGAGUCACUCAGCAAACGGGCCUGAGUAACUCACCCCAGGAGGAAUAUGUUGCCUCUAAAAUCCAAAAAGGCCCACUACAUAUUGUAUUUCUUUUUUGGUUGUAGGAGUGUCUAGAGGCAACAACUUAUUCCUCACCUUAGAAGGGGUAUCUCGAUGUGCUCCUCAUCUCUGGACCCCUAGAAAUUUCACUGAGGUAGAAGGCUCUUGAUUUUGGUUGGAUUUAUUUCCCACACUUUGAUAUGCAAAUGUAUUACCAAUAAGUCUAGAGCAAUUGUUACGUCUUGUUCACUAGGUCCAAUAAGCAUAAUGUCAUCAGUGUCAUGGACCAUUGUGAUAUUUUGUGGAUGGGAAAGAUGAUCAAGAUCAUAGUAGAUUAUGACAUAGGGCUUGAGAGUUGAUAAACCCCCAAGGUAGGACAGUGAAGGUGUAUUGCUGGCCUUGCCAGCUGAAAGCAAACUGCUUCUGAUGGGUGUUAUGGACAAGGAUGGGGAAAAAGGCAUUUACCAGAUCAAUAGCUGCUUACCAGGUACCAGGGGAUGUUUUAAUUUGCUUAAACAAUGAAGUCACAUCUGUUAUAGCAGCUGCAGUUGGAGCUACCAUCUGGUUAAACUUGGAAUAAUCCACUGUCAUUCUCCAGGAUCCAUCCGUCUUCUGCACAGGCUGAACAGGAAAUGAAGUUUAAGAACAAAAAAUCAAGAAAACAAAAGUGCUGAAUAAAUGAGAAAGAUGAAAGCAGACCCAAGACCGACUUGCACUGUAUGUUUAUAAAAUGAAAGUGUUCAGCACUAUUUCUUCAUUGGACCUGCCUGCUCGCAGGUCUGAACGGCUCUUCGCUGCAUAGCGCCAUUCUACGUUGUGCACCAGAAUUUACGAGGAACCAAGUCUCAUACUUAACAUCUAAUUUGCAAAUCAGCAAAGCAAGGCACAAGCCGAGAGAGUAAGCAGAAAUAUUUGCACCUAAAUCAUGACAAGAUAAGAUCACUCUAACACUUACCCCAACAGUAUAUAUAACUAUCAAGGCCCCAUUAAAAAAAUUCCCUCUCAGUGAAGGGUUCAAAUACUGGACAACGAGGUUCAAAGCAGAAUGUUUGGCAACUCUACUCAUAAUUGCCUUUAUUUCUCUCAACAACCCCAUGAAGAAGAUAUCAUUAUUCGUAUUUUACACACAAUAAAAUUUGAACUCAGGGUGUGUAACUUCCUUGGUUCAGAAUGCUCAUAAAUGGUGGACCCGGAAUUCAGACCCAGUCUCGUGAGAACCUAUGGCUCACGCUCUGUCCACAAUGACAUUCUGCCUCUUGUCAUUUGAUGGGUGGGGAAGCAGAUGUUCAGAGAGGAAACCCGACUGAGCCGAAGUCACAGCAAAUGUGUGGCAGACCUGGGAUUCGAUCCGAAGUUUCCCAGUGAAAUGACAUUCCAUAAAACUUGGCUGCCUCCCACGCAUUUCUCAGGGGUACCAACUAUAUAGACGCCAUUGCUUCAGGAAGGACACCCGAAGACCAUAGUAGAGCACAACCUCAAAGAAAUGGUAAAAAGAUAACUGGCGCUUUAGGAUAAAUGCAUCUCACAUGCCGAGAGAAUAAGCAUUCAACUAAGAAUAAACUUCUGACAUGACGCUAUAAAACAUUCCGAGUUCAAGCACAUGCAGAUACUUUAUUUUACAUGGUAGGAUGAUGUAGGGAUAACACUGAAAUGAGAUCUACAUUAAAAGUUGAGCUGUCAUGCAAAAUGAAUGAGCCCUCUUAAAGACAGAACGAGCCUCGCCAGGAGAGCCCACAGCCAGCCUGGUGAGCCAUCCGGAGCCUCUGUUCGGAGGAUGCAAUCUGUGUGCGAGCCAAUAUUGAUAUUCAAGCCACAUCCCACUUGCCUCCACGGGUAGCCUAAAGGUGAAGUUUAGCUAGACCAUGUUCUCUAGCCACAUUUGUAGGAAUGUGUUCAG